rnacentral:rRNA from 1 species
AUUGAACGCUGGCGGAAUGCUUUACACAUGCAAGUCGAACGGCAGCACGGACUUCGGUCUGGUGGCGAGUGGCGAACGGGUGAGUAAUGUAUCGGAACGCGCCCAGUCGUGGGGGAUAACGUAGUGAAAAUUACGCUAAUACCGCAUACGAUCUAUGGAUGAAAGCGGGGGAUCGCAAGACCUCGCGCGAUUGGAGCUGCCGAUAUCAGAUUAGGUAGUUGGUGGGGGAAAGGCCCACCAAGCCAACGAUCUGUAGCUGGUCUGAGAGGACGACCAGCCACACUGGAACUGAGACACGGUCCAGACUCCUACGGGAGGCAGCAGUGGGGAAUUUUGGACAAUGGGCGAAAGCCUGAUCCAGCCAUUCCGCGUGCAGGAUGAAGGCCCUCGGGUUGUAAACUGCUUUUGUACAGAACGAAAAGGUUUCUACUAAUACUAGGAGCUCAUGACGGUACUGUAAGAAUAAGCACCGGCUAACUACGUGCCAGCCGCCGCAGUAA